rnacentral:rRNA from 1 species
GAUCAUGGCUCAGGACGAACGCUGGCGGCGUGCUUAACACAUGCAAGUCGAACGCUGAAGCCUAGCUUGCUGGGUGGAUGAGUGGCGAACGGGUGAGUAACACGUGAGUAACCUGCCCUCUUCUUUGGGAUAACGCCCGGAAACGGGUGCUAAUACUGGAUAUUCACUGGCCUUCGCAUGGGGGUUGGUGGGAAAGGGUUUUUUUACUUGGUGGGGGAGUGGGCUCGCGGCCUAUCAGCUUGUUGGUGGGGUGAUGG